UUGGGCUUGUUGAUGACCCUGCAAGAUCACACUGCUUUCAUCUUUGUUGGCACGAAGGAAUUCCCAGAAAACCAGCAUUGAUUGCUCCAUUGUUUCUAUUAGCAUUUGGCUUGUAAUUGCACCUUCAUUGUCAUCUCCUCUUUUUCCCUUGUCCUUGAAACUAUCAUCUCUAACUAGAGGAACUUGAAGAAGACUACGAAGGACACAUCUGCUCUUGACAUAAUUCUCGACCCUGGGACCUUGAAAUUGCUCAUUCUCCAGAAACC
rnacentral:misc_RNA from 1 species